GGAGAGGUCACAUAGUGGUCUAGUGUAGAUCGGUGCUAACGAUCCGUGCCCGUAAGGGUACCGUGGGUUCGAAUCCCACCCUCUCCG
rnacentral:tRNA from 1 species